UACGUAGGUGGCAAGCGUUGUUCGGAAUUAUUGGGCGUAAAGGGCGCGUAGGCGGCUUGUUGCGUCGGCUGUGAAAUCCCGAGGCUCAACCUCGGGUCUGCAGUCGAUACGAGCAAACUAGAGUGUUGCAGGGGAGACUGGAAUUCCUGGUGUAGCGGUGAAAUGCGCAGAUAUCAGGAGGAACACCGGUGGCGAAGGCGGGUCUCUGGGCAACAACUGACGCUGAGGAGCGAAAGCGUGGGGAGCGAACAGG
rnacentral:rRNA from 1 species